UCGUGGCGGCCAUGACAGGCCGCGCUCACUGCUCUCUCAGAAAAAUCGCCACACGCUCGAGUUUUGACCUCCCAGUCUUCUUACCCACAAGAUUCACACCCUUUCCCUAUGUUGUGGGCCAGACACCUUCUCCGCAUCAAAACUUACCCCACAGAAAGAAGUGGUGAAGGAAGAGGUUAAGAAAUUUUAGAAGGCCUCAGAUUCUCUUCAUCUUCCCAAAUUCACCACAUAGGAAUUCUCUUAGGUUCAAUAACAACUCCAUGAGGUAGGAUCAACAAUGGUAUGGUAGGAAUCCUGGAUGGAGAGUGUAGAAAUUUCUACAGAAUCACACAGUGAUUUUGCCCACCCACCCCAGCGAAUCACACAGAGGAAUGCUAUGAGUGUUGUUUCCAAGAGAAUGCCUCCUCAACAGUGGAUGUGUCUUGGAGCACCCCUGGCAGUA